AAUGGAGUUAAAUCCACUUGGAGGCCAGUCACUACUGGUGUCCCCCAGGGCUCCGUACUGGGGCCAGGUUUCUUCAGUAUCUUUAUAAAUUAUCUGGAUGAGUAAUCUGAUC